rnacentral:sRNA from 1 species
UACCUAUGCCGAUAGCCUUGAGGGGCUAUU